UUUUUUCUCAUAUUUAUUUUGCAAACUAUGAACAAUAGAACAAUAACUUAGAAAACACGCAAAACUAUGAAUCUAUGAUAGGUAUGAGAUGUGCUGAAAAUAUUAUAAGAUAAGUGACUCAUGGUCCCAACCUGCAAACUAGGGUUAGUCCUGCCAUAAAAAGGGAAAGCAAGAAAAGAAAUAAACAAAAAAAAGAAGCAAGUAUAGUAACAGAAAAGUUGAAGAGGUUGAGAGUGAAAGAAAGAGAUAGUGAUGGGUACUUGAAUAAAAGACUAAGGUAAUCAUCAUUCUUGAAAAGGGUUUUGAUUGGGGGGAUUAUAGGAGACAAGAAAUUACUUGGCCCUUGUUUCCUUCAACCUACCCCAAAUUUGUUCCAUUUCUAUAUAUGGAACAAAUACCUAAUUUGCUCCAUUUCUAUAUAUGGAACAAAUACUAAUGAAGUUGAGAUUUUGUGUGGUUAAGUGAAGGGGAGAGCAAGGGUUUAUAUAGAGCCAGGAAGAGAGUUUACUUGCAUCAUUGCGUAUGGAAGGAAUAAGUGUGGGUUUAUAUUCCACUGCCUCAUUCUAUAAUAUUUUAAACAUUUUACAGAAAGAAGAAGUGUAGGAACUUUAUCUUUAUGAUAUCUCUCACUAGCCCAACCAC